UACGUAGGGACCAAGCGUUGUUCGGAUUUACUGGGCGUAAAGGGCGCGUAGGCGGCAAUUCAAGUCAGCUGUGAAAUCUCCGGGCUUAACUCGGAACGGUCAAGUGAUACUGUCGUGCUAGAGUACAGAAGGGGCAACUGGAAUUCUCGGUGUAGCGGUGAAAUGCGUAGAUAUCGAGAGGAACACCAGUGGCGAAGGCGAGUCCCUGGACAACACCUGACACUGAGGCACGAAAGCUAGGGGAGCAAACAGG
rnacentral:rRNA from 1 species